GGACAGAGGGAGUAUAAUUUUUGACUCUUCGUCUUAUUCAAAUUUUUUUUACGAUUAAUAUUUUUUUAUUAGAUGAUAAAUCAUGAAUAGUAUUUUACGUGUGACUAAUUUUUUUCUAAUUUUUUAAAAUUUUUUUAAAUAAGACGGAUGAUGACACGAAAAUUGAAG
rnacentral:pre_miRNA from 1 species